rnacentral:misc_RNA from 1 species
CACAUGUGAUAUUUAUUCCAAUAUAAUAUCAUUAACUAUGAACAAAUUCCCUUUACAGUUGAAAGUCCUCAACAGAAGAGUACAACUACGAAGGGGAAAAAAUAAAAAAUGAAAUAUUCUUAUCAAUUUUCUAAUCAAUACAAUUGAAUAUACAUGUUGAGAUAUGUAUUUCUUUUAAAAAUUUGCUUCUCUUUAAAGCUCUUGCUAAAGAAUUGCGGCUCACCGAAGAUCACCAACUUCCAACUUUAAGUUGGUAUUCAUAUAGAUGUGAGAACAGUGCUCAUAAAUUGAGCUUCCAUCCGAAGGCUCCUCAUGAGGAUGAAAACCCCUCUGCUGGCAAUUCCGAAUCACAGAUACACCACCCGGAUCAGACAAAUGAAAUAUACCGUGUGGACUGUAUUGAUUGAAUUCAAAUGUUAGUAUGCGAACAAGUAUAAUGAACAUAUUUCUAAAGGAUGAUUUUCUUGCCAACGCAAAUUAUUAUUUUGCCAAUAACAUUCCCCCAAUGCAAGUACUGUACUUUUCAUAGAGGUUUUCUUUAAUCACUAGCUAAUUAUGAUUAAGAAAAAAAAAAUACUAGCUAAGUAUUGAUGACAUCAGACUUUUAAAUUUAUUGCUUCAGCCACCCUAAAUUCAUAAUCUUAGAUCUUAUCUUUUGACAUAACCAGCUAGAUAAUUAAAGCAGAUGAUUUUCCCAAGAUGCACCCAUGUGUCUCAAGCGGGUUUGAAAAUUGUCCACACUUACCCUAAGGAUAGGUGAACAUUAUAUUAUAGUGGGGCAUUUUAUAAGCUUGACUUUGUUCCUCAAUAUCAUUUCCGGUUAAUUGAAGCAAAUGAAAUGACCAUUGGAUGAAAAAGAAAUCUACCUUGAUGUGUCAGUUGGGGCCAUUACAAUUGCAAUUGCUUCAGGUAACAUAAUCUGAAAGCAGGACAGAGAAAGAUCUUUCAGCCAUAUGUAAUAUUGCAAGUAAUAUGAUGAGACACUAGAGGAAACAGAAGAACAAAUAAAUGAGGUGACAAGAUCCCGAAAUAAUAGCAAAGUUGAUGUGCAUUGUUGAUGCUAUUUGCAAUACUCAAUCAUAUUCGUAACCAAUUAGAGAACUAGUGCUUUGAUGAAAAAGAAAAAAAGGGAAGGAAAAAAGCACAGCUGUCUGGGCAUUUUCAAAUCAGCAGGAUUAGAUAGACAGGAAUGGACAGGAUUAUGUAGCUGUCUAUGUUACGAAUUACAUAGACAGGAAUGAAUAUGAACUAUAAGCCUUCAAAGCACUAAUUACAUGGGAUUGACUGCAAAUAUUACAAGAUCACAUAAGCAUGUGCCAACACAGUAAAUGUAUGCACACUCUCAAAAGUGAACCAGGAAUUUAUUAUUAAGAACUCCAAAAAUAGUGCACAAUUUUAGUAAAUGCAAAACAGAUAACCAGCUGGUUAUUGCUACCUGAUAUGAGUAAUGAGCGUGCAGAUCAACAGAUGACAUAAAACAUAUCUGGGAUGGGUGUGUCUGAAAAUAAAUGCAAGAAACAAAUAUUAAAUGUCUGAAAAUAAAAGCAGGAAACAAAUAAUAAGUUAAGUGAUUAACACAUAAUCAUGAAAGCAUAUGCUGCUACUGGAAGACAUUAUAUCCAAAGAGAACGUAGCAAUGAAAUGCAUUUGCUUACUAAAAGGAUAGAAAAUAUAACAAGCAAUACAAGCAAAUUUAGCAGAAAAUUCAUAAUUAUGGACCAUCAUGACUAUUGAGAGUUUGAGACACGUAUGUGAAUCCACCCAAGAGGAAAAAGAGACAGUCUGUCUUGAACUUCAAAUAUUUCUUCUUCAUUCAAUGUCUGACACUGGACAUUAAUAAUUGUUUCAUGAAAAUAGAAUCAACAGUACAUAUAUACAAGUAAAAAUAAAAACUAAAAUGCCAACAUUAAUGGAUGAUGUCACAGAGUUAAAGUGGAUAAAUCACAAAGUUCCUUGCACCAUUCAAUCAUUUAAUCAUAUGAAGUUUCCUUGCAUUCCAGAACAUAAUAAUUUAUUUAUUGUUUGGAGUUAUUUAAGUGUUAACUCAAGACAACAGGGGCCUCUGCAUGUGCACUUGUUGGUUUGGGGGUAAUAAAAUCCUUGGCCUGCAUGUUUUAGCUUGUGUAUAACCAUGGUAUCGUUUGCUUUGAUGCUAAUGGAAAAUAAUGAAUAAUGGGUCUAUUCCCCCCAGGAGAAGAAACAUACAUGCAAGCAUAGACACAAUGCCUCUGGAUGCUAUCUAAAAUUCAAUGCCUCUGAAUCCUAUGUUGUAGCAUCAAUGCAUUUCAUGGCUCAAAAAUAAAAAUAAAUAUGAAAAUUUUCUCUGACUCAUCAUUUGUUUUGAGUGAUGGACAUGAAGCCUAUGAACAAAGUUAUGAUCAAAACAAGAAGGAACUUAAAAUAAGAAACACUGAAAUUAAGAAUUUGUUAUCGUACCGAAUCUGAAGUUGACUCUUGCUUUGGGAUUAUGUUAAAGAUCAGAUCUGAAUUAAUCUCUGAAAUAGAGAUUAAAGCAGAAUCUUAGAAGAUUGGGUGAGAAGAGAAUAGAGAUUGGAUGAGAAGAGAGUAGAAAAAUAUUGAAGAAGAGAGAAAAUAUUUCUGUUAUUGAUUCUUGAAUUAAUGAAUACAGGAAGGACUUCCCUUUUAUACAAGAGAAG